rnacentral:rRNA from 1 species
UGCAAGAGCCAUGUCUCCCUGCAGUUUCUCACUGAAGCUUAGCAGGGUUGAGCCUGCCCAGUACCUGGAUGGGGGAAAGCUAAGGUUGCUGCUGGAA